GACGAACGCUGGCGGCGUGCUUAACACAUGCAAGUCGAGCGGUAAGGCCCUUUCGGGGAUACACGAGCGGCGAACGGGUGAGUAACACGUGGGUGACCUGCCCUCAGCUCUGGGAUAAGCCCGGGAAACUGGGUCUAAUACCGGAUAUGACUCCAUGACGCAUGUUGUGGGGUGGAAAGCCUUGUGCGGCUGAGGAUGGGCCCGCGGCCUAUCAGCUUGUUGGUGGGGUGANGGCCUACCAAGGCGACGACGGGUAGCCGGCCUGAGAGGGCGACCGGCCACACUGGGACUGAGAUACGGCCCAGACUCCUACGGGAGGCAGCAGUGGGGAAUCUUGCGCAAUGGGCGAAAGCCUGACGCAGCGACGCCGCGUGAGGGAUGACGGCCU
rnacentral:rRNA from 1 species